CGAACUGGGGGUUUCAACAUAUCCCUCUCUGGUCCUGAUGGCCGGGUCAUUGGUGGUGGUGUUUCUGGUAUGCUUAUAGCUGCAAGUCCUGUCCAGAUAAUCGUGGGAAGCUUUGUUUAUGGCGGCUCUAAGAUGAAGAAAACUGAAACCCCGCAAGAAGCCGGUGAAUCUGAAUCUCCCACAGGCGGUGACCCUGGCACACCCCCUGCGCUCGGAACUGGAGGAUGGUCG
rnacentral:misc_RNA from 1 species